rnacentral:rRNA from 1 species
CAGUCGCGCGGUAAUACAGAGGGUGCGAGCGUUAAUCGGAUUUACUGGGCGUAAAGCGUGCGUAGGCGGCUAAUUGAGUCGGAUGUGAAAUCCCCGAGCUUAACUUGGGAAUUGCAUUCGAUACUGGUUAGCUAGAGUGUGGGAGAGGAUGGUAGAAUUCCAGGUGUAGCGGUGAAAUGCGUAGAGAUCUGGAGGAAUACCGAUGGCGAAGGCAGCCAUCUGGCCUAACACUGACGCUGAGGUACGAAAGCAUGGGGAGCAAACAGGAUUAGAUACCCCAGUAGUCCCUGUCUCUUAUACC